GAUGAACGCUGGCGGCGUGCUUAACACAUGCAAGUCGAACGAAGCACUUUAUUUGAUUUCCUUCGGGCGUGAUUAUUUUGUGACUGAGUGGCGGACGGGUGAGUAACGCGUGGGUAACCUGCCUUGUACAGGGGGAUAACAGUUGGAAACGGCUGCUAAUACCGCAUAAGCGCACAGCAUCGCAUGAUGCAGUGUGAAAAACUCCGGGGGGAUAAGAUGAACCCGCGUUGGAUUGGCUAGUUGGUGGGGUAACGGCCAACCAAGGCGACGAUGCAUAGCCGAGCGGGGAGGCGGACCGGUCACAAUGGGACUGAGACACGGCCCAAACUCGUACGGGAGGGAGCAGUGGGGAAUAUUGCACAAUGGGCGAAAGCCUGAUGCAGCGACGCCGCGUGAGCGAAGAAGUAGUUCGGUAUGUAAAGCUCUAUCAGCAGGGAAGAUAAUGACGGUACCUGACUAAGAAGCACCGGCUAAAUACGUG
rnacentral:rRNA from 1 species